rnacentral:rRNA from 1 species
GGCUCAGGACGAACGCUGGCGGCGUGCUUAACACAUGCAAGUCGCGGGGUAACAUCUGGUAGAGCUUGCUCUUCCAGGAUGACGACCGGCGCACGGGUGAGUAACGCGUAUCCAACCUGCCCUUCACCACGGAAUAAUCCAGUGAAAAUUGGUCUAAUACCGUAUGAGGUCAUACGAUGGCAUCAGAAUAUGACGAAAGGUUUAGCGGUGAAGGAUGGGGAUGCGUCUGAUUAGCUUGUUGGCGGGUAACGGCCCACCAAGGCUACGAUCAGUAGGGGUUCUGAGAGGAAGGUCCCCCACAUUGGAACUGAGACACGGUCCAAACUCCUACGGGAGGCAGCAGUGAGGAAUAUUGGUCAAUGGGCGAGAGCCUGAACCAGCCAAGUAGCGUGCAGGAAGACGGCCCUAUGGGUUGUAAACUGCUUUUAUGCGGGGAUAAACUGACUCACGUGUGGGUCAUUGCAGGUACCGCAUGAAUAAGGACCGGCUAAUUCCGUG